AGAAUCAACGCUGGCGGCGUGCCUAACACAUGCAAGUCGAACGAGAAAGUGGAGCAAUCCACGAGUAAAGUGGCGCACGGGUGAGUAACACGUGACUAACCUACCCUUGAGUGGGGGAUAACCUAGAGAAAUCUGGGCUAAUACCGCAUAAUACCUUCGGGUCAAAGGAGCAAUUCGCUUAAGGAGGGGGUCGCGGCCGAUUAGUUAGUUGGCGGGGUAAUGGCCCACCAAGACUAUGAUCGGUAUCCGGCCUGAGAGGGCGCACGGACACACUGGAACUGAAACACGGUCCAGACUCCUACGGGAGGCAGCAGUGGGAAUUUUGCGCAAUGGGGGAAACCCUGACGCAGCAACGCGCGUGGAGGAUGAAGUCCUUGGGACGUAAACUCCUUUCGAUCGGGACGAUAAUGACGGUACCGAGAGAAGAAGCCCGGCUAACUCGCGCCAGCAGCCGC
rnacentral:rRNA from 1 species